rnacentral:misc_RNA from 1 species
AGCAGCCGCGGUAAUUCCAGCUCCAAUAGCGUAUAUUAAAGUUGUUGCAGUUAAAAAGCUCGUAGUUGAAUUUCGGGAUUGACGUGAUGGUCGUGCCUUACGGGGUAUGAACUGUUGCUGUUGAUUUCUCACCUUCUGGAGAAACUUGAUGUCCUUAAUUGGGUGUCUUGCGGAUCCAGGACCUUUACCUUGAAAAAAAUUUAGAGUGUUUUAAAGCAGGCAUUUUUGCUCGAAUACAUUAGCAUGGAAUAAUAGAAUAGGACGGCAUGGUUCUAUUUUGUUGGUUUCUAGGAUCACCGUAAUGAUUAAUAGGGAUAGUUGGGGGGCAUUAGUAUUCAAUUGUCAGAGGUGAAAUUCUUGGAUUUAUUGAAGACUAACUACUGCGAAAGCAUUUGCCAAGGAUGUUUUCAUUAAUCAAGAACGAAAGUUAGGGGAUCGAAGACGAUCAGAUACCGUCGUAGUCUUAACCAU